CACAUUCAUUGGUAACGGGUGAAGAUUCUUGGAAAUCUACACGUGGAAGAGGUGGGACCUAAGAUAAAACACACGUUGCCAUAUGUAGCCCCACCAGGAUUUUUUUCAGGUUAACCAUGAAGAAGAAAAUCAAAUUCAACAAAUAUUUGCAUUCCCUCUCCUCCCUCCACAGUGGCCAGCUUUGCUAUGAAAACACAAUUCUCUGUCCUGUCUCGCCUACAUGCAGCUUUUCUGUCCUCCCUUUAAAGUGUUUUAAAUGUAGUUUUUUUGACAGAUAAUAUGUGUGCAUGGCCCGGACUCGAACAGGUUCAAGGGCGCACAGGGGAGCGUGUUUCCUCCUGAUCAGCUCUUUCUUGAUGCAGGUGGCAUGACCAAGAGCUCAGCAUUGACAGGAAUGACCUCACAAACCAGGAAUGAGAAGCCCCCACCAACAAAGGCCUGUUGAUAAUUCUCCUGAGAAAAGGCAUUGAGUCUCAUCUCUUCCCCGACCUUGGGUUAAAGAGUGGACAAUAAUGCUGUUGCCUUCAAGAAUGAGCCAGAGAGGGAAGGUGACCUGAAAAGGUGACAAAGCAAUCAGCGCAAACUACAUCCUUGGGCCAAAUCUAUGACAUCAGCAAAGCUGGGCUUCAGUCCUUGCCUCCCUUUUCCCCUGGUCAGGGUGCUCCUCCCCAAGACAGGAGGCUCCUCAUCCUUGUUCCCUUUCAAGACCACCUGCUGGGCAACCACCAUUUACUCAUUCAUACUAAAGGGCCUGAAAAGACUAAUUUUGGAGAAUAUGUGUUGACUGUUCCAACUGUGAGCAUGCUUCCUGCCCUCCCUCCAGGCUGCCCAGCGGUGCCACUGCUGCAAAUCCAGGUGAGCUAGAGGUGCUCAGAGACAGAAGGGGCCACCUUGCAUGGGAAACAUGAGUUUCUAGCUGCUGAAGGUGUUCAAACCUCCUGAUGGGGUUUUCUUAGAGAAGAUGGGGUCCCAGGGUC
rnacentral:lncRNA from 10 species